UGGGGAAUAUUGCACAAUGGGCGCAAGCCUGAUGCAGCCAUGCCGCGUGUAUGAAGAAGGCCUUCGGGUUGUAAAGUACUUUCAGCGGGGAGGAAGGGAGUAAAGUUAAUACCUUUGCUCAUUGACGUUACCCGCAGAAGAAGCACCGGCUAACUCCGUGCCAGCAGCCGCGGUAAUACGGAGGGUGCAAGCGUUAAUCGGAAUUACUGGGCGUAAAGCGCACGCAGGCGGUUUGUUAAGUCAGAUGUGAAAUCCUCGGGCUCAACCUGGGAACUGCAUCUGAUACUGGCAAGCUUGAGUUUCGUAGAGGGAGGUAGAAUUCCAGGUGUAGCGGUGAAAUGCGUAGAGAUCUGGAAGAAUACCGGUGGCGAAGGCGGCCCCCUGGACGAAGACUGACGCUCAGGUGCGAAAGCGUGGGGAGCAAACAGG
rnacentral:rRNA from 1 species